GCGCCGUUGGCCCAAUUGGAUAAGGCGACUGCCUACGGAGCAGUAGAGUCCAGGUUCAAGUCCUGGACGGCGCG
rfam:Trichomonas vaginalis G3, whole genome shotgun sequence.